UUUGAUUCAUUGGAAGCUACACUCGAUGUCUUAAACGAGUGGCUUAACGUGCUUAGUCCAUUCAAAUCCCAUUUGCACUGAUUCCAUUAUUGUGUUUGGUCUCCAAGGAACAAAUCAUGUCGUAUGGUGCAUUCAUCAUCUAUCUCAUUGCUCGUGGCAUGAUCACUUUCACUCCUUGGCGAUUUAAAGCGGAGUCUAGUCAUUGAGAGUGGGCCAAACAAAAUAGUGUAGUAGCUAUGUCUUGUAAUCCUUAGGAUCAUGAGUUCUAGCUUUCUCUUUUGUAUUAUAUGUGUUGUUGUUAUAAAGCAGCUCUAGUUUUGUUGAAGAAGGCUCUUCUAUGUAUCAGUAGAUAGGUCCUGGAG